rnacentral:misc_RNA from 1 species
GAUGAAGAACGCAGCGAAAUGCGAUAAGUAAUGUGAAUUGCAGAAUUCAGUGAAUCAUCGAAUCUUUGAACGCACAUUGCGCCCCUUGGUAUUCCGAGGGGCAUGCCUGUUCGAGCGUCAUUAUAACCCCUCAAGCUCAGCUUGGUGUUGGGGCCUGCUGCACUGGCAGCCCUUAAAAUCAGUGGCGGCGCCAUCUGGCUCUAAGCGUAGUAAUUCUUCUCGCUAUGGAGUCCUGGUGGAUGCUUGCCAUCAACCCCCAAUUUUCUAUGGUUGACCUCGGAUCAGGUAGGGAUACCCGCUGAACUUAAGCAUAUCAAUAGCGGAGGA